rnacentral:misc_RNA from 1 species
GCCGCCUCCGGAAUUGGGCUCUCAUGGUGUUCCAAUCUCUCCCUCCUCCCCUCCCCCUCAUCGUCGAAGCCCUCUCCUGCCCGCCGUGUCUCCUCGGUCACCAGAAAUGCGAUAUCGGUGGAGAAGAAGACCUUCACGCUUCAGAAAUCUGAAGAGAUCUUCACCGCUGCCAAGGAGCUGAUGCCAGGAGGAGUAAAUUCACCUGUUCGUGCCUUCAAAUCAGUUGGUGGACAGCCCAUUAUCUUUGAUUCUGUGAAGGGUUCUCACAUGUGGGAUGUUGAUGGCAAUGAGUACAUAGAUUAUGUUG